rnacentral:rRNA from 1 species
ACAUGCAGUCGGACAGAAGGGAGCUUGCUCCCGGAUGUUAGCGGCGGACGGGUGAGUAACACGUGGGUAACCUGCCUGUAAGACUGGGAUAACUCCGGGAAACCGGAGCUAAUACCGGAUAGUUCCUUGAACCGCAUGGUUCAAGGAUGAAAGACGGUUUCGGCUGUCACUUACAGAUGGACCCGCGGCGCAUUAGCUAGUUGGUGAGGUAACGGCUCACCAAGGCGACGAUGCGUAGCCGACCUGAGAGGGUGAUCGGCCACACUGGGACUGAGACACGGCCCAGACUCCUACGGGAGGCAGCAGUAGGGAAUCUUCCGCAAUGGACGAAAGUCUGACGGAGCAACUCCCGCGUGAGUGAUGAAGGUUUUCGGAUCGUAAAGCUCUGUUGUUAGGGAAGAACAAGUGCAAGAGUAACUGCUUGCACCUUGACGGUACCUAACCAGAAAGCCACGGCUAACUACGUGCCAGCAGCCGCGGUAAUACGUAGGUGGCAAGCGUUGUCCGGAAUUAUUGGGCGUAAAGGGCUCGCAGGCGGUUUCUUAAGUCUGAUGUGAAAGCCCCCGGCUCAACCGGGGAGGGUCAUUGGAAACUGGGAAACUUGAGUGCAGAAGAGGAGAAUUCCACGUGUAGCGGUGAAAUGCGUAGAGAUGUGGAGGAACACCAAGUGGCGAAGGCGACUCUCUGGUCUGUAACUGACGCUGAGGAGCGAAAGCGUGGGAUUACAGGUAUUAGAUACCCUGGUAGUCCACGCCGUAAACGAUGAGUGCUAAGUGUUAGGGGGUUUCCGCCCCUUAGUGCUGCAGCUAACGCAUUAAGCACUCCGCCUGGGGAGUACGGUCGCAAGACUGAAACUCAAAGGAAUUGACGGGGGCCCGCACAAGCGGUGGAGCAUGUGGUUUAAUUCGAAGCAACGCGAAGAACCUUACCAGGUCUUGACAUCCUCUGACAACCCUAGAGAUAGGGCUUUCCCUUCGGGGACAGAGUGACAGGUGGUGCAUGGUUGUCGUCAGCUCGCCGCAACGAGCGCAACCCUUGAUCUUAGUUGCCAGCAUUCAGUUGGGCACUCUAAGGUGACUGCCGGUGACAAACCGGAGGAAGGUGGGGAUGACGUCAAAUCAUCAUGCC